AUGAAGCGUGCAUUGAUGUGUGUGCUGAUGGCUGCCUGGAGCCUCGGAUGUGGCAGCCAGACGGUGCACCAGCCAGCAGAGAAUGUGUACGCCAUGAAAGGCGACUCAGUGACGCUGGACUGCAGCUUUGAAAAUUCUGGAAGCAACGACUACAUCUUCUGGUACAAACAGGACGGGCAGGCGGCACCAAAGUUCAUCCUGAGCCGCUUCAAGAUCGGCCAGGGCAAGACUGAGAGCGGCUUUGAAAAGAGGAUCAGCUGGAGCAUCAAUGACACCGCCAAGCGAGCUCCUCUGAAUAUCCAAGACGUGCAGCUGAACGACUCUGCAGUCUUCUACUGCGCCAUCCAGCCCACAAUGACUGACAUCUCUACUGCACCUGCACAAAAAGCUCUGUGGGCUCCUCAUUCCACUGUGGCUGUUUGA